UACAGAGGCCUCGAGCGUUAGGCGGAAUCACUGGGCUUAAAGCGUGUGUAGGCGGAUGUCUAAGUGCUUUGUGAAAUCCCACGGCUCAACCGUGGAAUUGCUUGGCAUACUGGAUGUCUUGAGCCAUCUAGGGGCGAGCGGAACAAGUGGUGGAGCGGUGAAAUGCGUAGAUAUCGCUUGGAACGCCGAAGGUGAAAACAGGUUGCUGGGGAUGUGCCGACGCUGAGACACGAAAGCCAGGGGAGCAAACGGG
rnacentral:rRNA from 1 species